rnacentral:misc_RNA from 1 species
GAAGAUACUGAGGAAGUCGCUAAGGAGGCAGAUACAAAAGCUGUCCUUGAUAAGUUGAAGGACUCAAAGAAGAGUGAUGAUGACUCGAAAAACAUGCCUUCAGAAGGGGAGUCAAAAGAAGAGCCAGGAAGAACUGACCAUAGAAUAGAUGCUGGUGGAGAAAAGAACAAGGAUCGAGAGAAGGACAGGGGCAGAGAUAGGGAGAGGGAGAGGGAUAAGGAAAGACUAAAGUCUCGUGAACGUGAUAGGGGAAGGGAAUCUGACAGGGAAAGGGACAGAGACGACUUCGAAAGGGACAGAGAAAAAUCCAAGGAAAGGAGUCAUCGUUCAAGAGACAAAGGUCACUCAGAGAAACCAAAACAUCAAUCUUCUCGAGAUCGUGAUUACCUGUCUUAUUCAUCACGGGAGAAGGAUCGUCGUAGACAUCAUUAGCUUGGAACGGCCUGAGAGAAUGUGCUCUCAAUCACUGCCAACUUGCUUCAUUAAAGCUUGCCCUAAAUUAUACUUCACCGAUUUCGUGAAUCUGCAUAUGGAGGGUUUAUUUAAUUGGUGGAAAUAGUAUAUCCUCCACCUGUUGAAAUUGGA